rnacentral:lncRNA from 1 species
AUACACGAAAGAAGCUGGUAAGAGUCAUUGACUCGGGGAGACCCGGAUAGCUCAGAACAAGUUGAUGUCUGGCCAGAAGGACCCAGAGCAGGUAGACAAAAUGUCUUCCUCCUCUACAAUAUCAGCUAUAUAUUUUGAUUUUUGUGCUAGGUGCAUGAAUUUUCUGCCAAAAGAGGAUUGCCUUUACUUUCCUAACUGCUGACACGGAUGCUAAGACUGAUCAUCAUCAGAAACAGUAGGGCAGAAUGAGCUUCUUGGCACUGAAAUUUAAGUUCCUGAGGAAUAAAACUUCUCCAAAAAACAGCAAGUGGUCAAGUUGAGUGCACUAUUUAUUUUUUUUAAGAUUUUUUUAAUUUUUUUCCUUUUUAUCCCCAUAGCCCCCAGGUACAUAGUUGUAUAUUCUUCUUUGUGGGUCCUUCUAGUUGUGGUGCACUAUUUUUUUUCUCUACAUUUCUGAAGAUGACUUGGACUACAUAAUUUAGGUGGUUUGGUUUGCUAAAAUCAGAUCAAUGUCUCCCGCCUGGUUUUGACUCAUACUUGUCUGCCUGGAGUGAUAGGGAGGACUUUUAUAAGUGUUCCUUAUGGUACUAGACUCUUAGAUUGAUAUAUUCUGAUUUUUAAAAAAUAAUAGGAUUUUUGUACUGAGUAAAACAGCCAACUCAACGUCAAAGGAGAAAAUGGAUUUCUGAUGGGUAGAAAGCAUAGCUGUGUGCCCGUAUCUUCUCUCGCACCCAGUCAUGCUUAUUU